UAUAUCCUUUAAUACUAAUCGAGAUAUUUGAUACUGAAUAACGUUUGUGCGUCCCAGACAAUCCAAAUCAUUAAUCCGAAACACUCCUUUUUGGAAAGAUUCCAACAUGUCAUUUUCAAUAGACUUUUGAGUAUAGCCCAUCUCUUUUAAAUCGUCGGCCAAAUCGGUCUCUAAUCGUGGAUCAAUGUCAGGACGAGCAGGAUCAGGUGUAAAGUGGAAUUUCUUGACAACGGCAGGAAAAGGUAGAAGCAUAAGGUGAUGCUUGUAAGCUUCAUAUAGCGAAGCUUCAAAGCCUUUUGUUUGUAAAAGAUCGAUUACAUAUAUAUCACCAUAAGCUUUGUAUAGCUUACUAAAGUGAAAAUUAAAUAGACUUUGACUUGCCUGCGAAGAUCUCAAAAAAGAAAUAGAGGGUCCAUACCAAGAAGAGAAUUGUUCCUCCCAGAAACAUGGGACUGUCCCUCGAACUUGUACGAAGCUAAAGACCGUUUGUGCGAUCUCGACAAUAAAUUCUGUCUCCACAAACAUAGAACAAUAAGACGAAUCAUCAAUACCAGAGGGAGGGUAUGUUUGCCGAGAGCCAUAACUAGAUACCUUGGAGAUUAUACUCAUAGACAUACUAUCAAUGAACAUUCUCUCAACAUAACCCCGAAAGCAAUGGAGCAACAGGUUCGGGAAUUUCUCCAAAAUAUGGGCUUCAGAGAAGUGGUUAUCCAAUUCCGUUAUGAGAAAUCUAUUCCAACAAUAAAUAUCUUUGGGACCAUAAGGCUGCUCGGAUUGAAACCUUGAAAAGCAAGAAAUAUUUGUAGAGACAUAAAAUGAACCAUCGGUGAGCAAAUCGGUCAAUUGAGAAAGGGAAUGAUAUGGAUAUAUCCUAGUAGUUGAAGAGUAUUUACUAGAAUAUUCGCUAUUAACCAAAUUAUCUUUUUCAAUAUUAUUCAAGUCAGAAGUGCUUGUCGAAAAAGUAGAGCUUGGUGAACUAUUACGAGGCAUGGGUUCGAACAACUCUUCAUCCCAUAAUUCCUGAUCUAAAGAGAUGAAGGAGACAUUUUCAAGUUUCGAAAUUGGGUCUCUAUUACCAAUUCGAAGCACUAGUUUUGCUUUCCGGGCAACGCAUAGGAAAACGCCUUCUUUCAUAUCCUCACAUACAUAAUUAAACAACCCAAGGGUUCCCAAUAUCUUCUCUCCUCCAAAAAGUAAUUCAUAUUCCUUUAUCUUUUCGAAUUCUUCAAGUGAGAUACAAGU